rnacentral:rRNA from 1 species
AGCAGUCGCCACGGUAAUACGGAGGGUGCAAGCGUUAUCCGGAUUCACUGGGUUUAAAGGGUGCGUAGGCGGAUCUGUAAGUCAGUGGUGAAAUCUCCAGGCUUAACCUGGAAACUGCCGUUGAUACUAUAGGUCUUGAAUUUUGUGGAGGUUAGCGGAAUACGUCGUGUAGCGGUGAAAUGCAUAGAUAUGACAUAGAACACCAAUUGCGAAGGCAGCUGGCUACACAACUAUUGACGCCGAGGCACGAAAGCGUGGGGAUCAAACAGGAUUAGAUACCCCCGUAGUCCCUGUCUCUUAUAC